UACGUAGGCAGCGAGCGUUGUUCGGAGUUACUGGGCGUAAAGCGUGCGUAGGCGGUGUCUUAAGUUUGUUGUGAAAUCUCCCGGCUUAACCGGGAGGGUGCGGCGAAUACUGAGAUGCUGGAGUGCCGGAGAGGUAAGCGGAAUUCCUGGUGUAGCGGUGAAAUGCGUAGAUAUCAGGAGGAACACCAAUGGCGAAGGCAGCUCGCUGGGACGUGACUGACGCUGAGACGCGAAAGCGUGGGGAGCAAACAGG
rnacentral:rRNA from 1 species